rnacentral:rRNA from 1 species
AUGGCCGGGGCGGCGCCCCACGUCAUGGUGCUGCCGUUCCCGGCGCAGGGCCACGUCACCCCGCUCAUGGAGCUCUCGCACCGCCUCGUCGACCACGGCCUCCAGGUCACCUUCGUCUGCACCGAGCCCAUCCACAAGCUCCUUCUCGACGCCCUGCCGCGGAACGGCGGCGGCGAGGCGCUGGACGGGAUCCGCCUGGUCUCCGUACCGGACGGCCUGGCCGACGGCGACAGCCGCAGGGACCUAGGCAAGGUCCUGGCCGGGGUCUUGGGGCGCGUGCCGGGCCACGUGGCGGAGCUCAUCAGGGAGACGGAGGCGUCCGGGGAGAGGAAGGUGCGGUGGCUCGUCGCCGACUCCACCAUGGCGUGCUGCUUCCAGGCCGCGAGGAAUCUCGGCGUCCGGGUCGCCUCCGUCUGCCCGGCGUCCGCGGCGUGCCUUGCCACGUCGCUCAGGAUUCCCCAGCUCGUACAGGAUGGCAUCUUCGACCACAAUGAAAUCCAGACGCGCGUCGCCGGCAACGGCAUGAUCGUCAGCUGGUGCCCCCAGCAGCAGGUUCUCGCGCAUCCGGCGGUGGCAUGCUUCGUGUCGCACUGCGGGUGGAACUCGACGAUGGAGGGGGCGAGGAACGGCGUGCCCAUCCUGUGCUGGCCCUACUUCUCCGACUAG